AGACCAUUAUGCUACAAUACAAAGUUAUUAAGAGAGUCCCCGCCUGCCCAAGUGAGAUAUACUUCUUUUUUUAACGGCCGCGGUAUCCUAACCGUGCAAAAGGUAGCGUAAUCAAUUGCCCCUUAAAUGGGGGCUGGUAUGAACGGCUGAAUGAGGGCGUAUCUGUCUCCUGAGACCAAUUAAUGAAACUGAUCUUUCAGUACAAAAGCUGAAAUCCACUCAUAAGACGAACAGACCCUGUGGAGCUUUAAACUCUAAUACUACAACCAACUUUACCCCCUACUCUCCCCGGAGGCACCUUAAAACUCGAUAGUAUUAAUAUUUUUAGUUGGGGCGACGUGCGGAAUAUAAAAAAUCUUCCACGAAAACAGGAUCACAAUCCAUCCAAGACCAACAAGUCAAAGAAAAACACACUUGACCCAGUAAUACUGAUCAACGAACCAAGUUACCCCAGGGAUAACAGCGCCAUCCCCUUCAAGAGCCCAUAUCGCCAAGGGGGUUUACGACCUCGAUGUUGGAUCACGACAACCAAGUGGUGCAGCCACUACUAAAGGUUCGUUUGUUCAACGAUUAAUGUCCU
rnacentral:rRNA from 1 species